AUAAGCGGAGGAAAAGAAACCAACAGGGAUUACCUCAGUAACGGCGAGUGAAGCGGUAACAGCUCAAAUUUGAAAUCUGGCUCUUUCAGGGUCCGAGUUGUAAUUUGUAGAAGAUGCUUUGGGCAUUGCUCCGGUCUAAGUUCCUUGGAACAGGACGUCAUAGAGGGUGAGAAUCCCGUAUGUGACUGGUUGCAUUUGUCCGUGUAAAGCUCUUUCGACGAGUCGAGUUGUUUGGGAAUGCAGCUCAAAAUGGGUGGUAUAUUUCAUCUAAAGCUAAAUAUUGGCCAGAGACCGAUAGCGCACAAGUAGAGUGAUCGAAAGAUGAAAAGCACUUUGGAAAGAGAGUUAAACAGUACGUGAAAUUGUUGAAAGGGAAGCGCUUGCAACCAGACUUGCAGGUCGUUGAUCAUCCGGGGUUCUCCCCGGUGCACUCGGCGGCUUUCAGGCCAGCAUCGGUUUGAGUGGUGGGAUAAAGGCCUUGGGAAUGUGGCUCCUUUCGGGGAGUGUUAUAGCCCAAGGUGCAAUGCCGCCUAUUCGGACCGAGGACCGCGCUUCGGCUAGGAUGCUGGCGUAAUGGUUGUAAGCGACCCGUCUUGAAACACGGACCAAGGAGUCUAACAUCUAUGCGAGUGUUUGGGUGUCAAACCCAUACGCGUAAUUAACGUGAACGGAGGUAAGAACCCUUAAGGGUGCAUUAUCGACCGAUCCUGAUGUCUUCGGAUGGAUUUGAGUAAGAGCAUAGCUGUUGGGACCCGAAAGAUGGUGAACUAUGCCUGAAUAGGGUGAAGCCAGAGGAAACUCUGGUGGAGGCUCGCAGCGGUUCUGACGUGCAAAUCGAUCGUCAAAUUUGGGUAUAGGGGCGAAAGACUAAUCGAACCA
rnacentral:rRNA from 1 species